rnacentral:rRNA from 1 species
UACGUAGGGUGCAAGCGUUAAUCGGAAUUACUGGGCGUAAAGCGUGCGCAGGCGGUUUUGUAAGUCUGACGUGAAAGCCCCGGGCUUAACCUGGGAAUUGCGUUGGAGACUGCAAGGCUUGAAUCUGGCAGAGGGGGGUAGAAUUCCACGUGUAGCAGUGAAAUGCGUAGAGAUGUGGAGGAACACCGAUGGCGAAGGCAGCCCCCUGGGUCAAGAUUGACGCUCAUGCACGAAAGUGUGGGGAGCGAACAGG